rnacentral:rRNA from 1 species
CCGGCGACCGGCGCACGGGUGAGUAACACGUAUGCAACCUGGCCGUGACAGAUGGAUAACUGGGAGAAAUCCCGCCUAAUACAACAUAAUGCCGGGAGGGGACAUCCCCUGCCGGUCAAAGGGGGCGACCCCGGUCACGGAUGGGCAUGCGGCGCAUUAGGUAGUUGGUGGGGCAACGGCCCACCAAGCCGACGAUGCGCAGGGGUUCUGAGAGGAAGGUCCCCCACAUUGGAACUGAGACACGGUCCAAACUCCUACGGAAGGCAGCAG